GACGAACGCUGGCGGCGUGCCUAAUACAUGCAAGUAGAACGCUGAAGGAGGAGCUUGCUUCUCUGGAUGAGUUGCGAACGGGUGAGUAACGCGUAGGUAACCCGCCUGGUAGCGGGGGAUAACUAUUGGAAACGAUAGCUAAUACCGCAUAAUAGCAGUUGUUGCAUGAUAACUGUUUGAAAGGUGCAAUUGCACCACUACCAGAUGGACCUGCGUUGUAUUAGCUAGUUGGUGGGGUAACGGCUCACCAAGGCGACGAUACAUAGCCGACCUGAGAGGGUGAUCGGCCACACUGGGACUGAGACACGGCCCAGACUCCUACGGGAGGCAGCAGUAGGGAAUCUUCGGCAAUGGACGGAAGUCUGACCGAGCAACGCCGCGUGAGUGAAGAAGGGUUUCGGAUCGUAAAGCUCUGUUGUAAGAGAAGAACGAGUGUGAGAGUGGAAAGUUCACACUGUGACGGUAUCUUACCAGAAAGGGACGGCUAACUACGUG
rnacentral:rRNA from 1 species